GUGCUCGCUUUGGCAACACAUAUACUAAAAAAUUGGAACAAUACAGAAAAAAAUGAACACAGUCCCUGUGCAAGGAUGACAUGCAAAUUUGUGAAGCAUUGCGAAAAUUA